CAAUGCCUCUAACAAAACGGGCGGUAUCACCGGUAAACCUCAGCAGAGGCACAAUUCCAUCAACAAUCCAUCGUGAUGAGCUUCAAUGUACUGCUAAUGGGACAAUCGCCAAUUUAGUACGACAAUUGAGCUCGUUGAGGUGGGAAAUUAGGUCGGAAAACUGGAAUUUUAUCGAUUUUUUUUUGCAGUAAGCACGCUGAGAACAUCUUCGGAGAGAUUUAUCACGACGCAAUGAUAAUAAAUCACAAAUCGAACACUCUUCAACAGAGAAUUGAUAGAUUGCACAAGAAAGUUGAAGAUUUGGAUUCAAAUUCCGAUCAAGCAACGUUGAAUGAAGCGAAUAUGCGAAAAGCAUUCAAAAGUUCAAUGCUUGUAGAUCAACAUAUUCUGGAUAGAAGCACUUUACCUACAGCAUUGACUGAAAUAUAUGCAAAAUGUGAUCCACCGCCGGAUCUUGAUGCUCUAAAUCCGUAUAGAGACUCUGAAAUCCCUGCGCUCUCUCUCUACACAAAUCCCUCGUUUUUCUUCGAUUUAUGGAAAAAGGAGACACUAAAAGAGGUUGCCGAACGGCCCAGACGGGUAAAAAGCCCGAACGACGGGAGUAAAAGCCCGAAAAAGCGGCGGAAGCAGCCUGGACAAGGCCCUCUCGGCACGACGGCCUAUAAUGAUAUGCAGCAUAGGAAUCGACAGAUUAGUGGAUCACGGAUUAAUCAGCAGAAUGAAGUUUUCUCGUUCCCGGAGGAAUAUCAGGCUCCGCAGGCUCUCGGGCUUCAGCUUAACUUUAAAAAUCAGG
rnacentral:sRNA from 1 species